rnacentral:rRNA from 1 species
AUUGAACGCUGGCGGCAUGCUUUACACAUGCAAGUCGAACGGCAGCGCGGGCUUCGGCCUGGCGGCGAGUGGCGAACGGGUGAGUAAUGCAUCGGAACGUGCCCAGUAGUGGGGGAUAGCCCGGCGAAAGCCGGAUUAAUACCGCAUACGACCUGAGGGUGAAAGCGGGGGACCGAAAGGCCUCGCGCUAUUGGAGCGGCCGAUGUCGGAUUAGCUAGUUGGUGGGGUAAAGGCUUACCAAGGCGAAGAUCCGUAGCUGGUCUGAGAGGACGACCAGCCACACUGGGACUGAGACACGGCCCAGACUCCUACGGGAGGCAGCAGUGGGGAAUUUUGGACAAUGGGGGCAACCCUGAUCCAGCCAUGCCGCGUGCGGGAAGAAGGCCUUCGGGUUGUAAACCGCUUUUGUUCGGGAAGAAAUCCUCUGGGCUAAUACCCCGGGGGGAUGACGGUACCGGAAGAAUAAGCACCGGCUAACUACGUG